GACGAACGCUGGCGGCGCGCUUAACACAUGCAAGUCGAACGGAAAGGCCCUGCUUUUGUGGGGUGCUCGAGUGGCGAACGGGUGAGUAACACGUGAGUAACCUGCCCUUGACUUUGGGAUAACUUCAGGAAACUGGGGCUAAUACCGGAUAGGAGCUCCUGCUGCAUGGUGGGGGUUGGAAAGUUUCGGCGGUUGGGGAUGGACUCGCGGCUUAUCAGCUUGUUGGUGGGGUAGUGGCUUACCAAGGCUUUGACGGGUAGCCGGCCUGAGAGGGUGACCGGCCACAUUGGGACUGAGAUACGGCCCAGACUCCUACGGGAGGCAGCAGUGGGGAAUAUUGCACAAUGGGCGGAAGCCUGAUGCAGCAACGCCGCGUGCGGGAUGACGGCCUUCGGGUUGUAAACCGCUUUCGCCUGUGACGAAGCGUGAGUGACGGUAAUGGGUAAAGAAGCACCGGCUAACUACGUGCCAGCAGCCGCGGUGAUACGUAGGGUGCGAGCGUUGUCCGGAUUUAUUGGGCGUAAAGGGCUCGUAGGUGGUUGAUCGCGUCGGAAGUGUAAUCUUGGGGCUUAACCCUGAGCGUGCUUUCGAUACGGGUUGACUUGAGGAAGGUAGGGGAGAAUGGAAUUCCUGGUGGAGCGGUGGAAUGCGCAGAUAUCAGGAGGAACACCAGUGGCGAAGGCGGUUCUCUGGGCCUUUCCUGACGCUGAGGAGCGAAAGCGUGGGGAGCGAACAGGCUUAGAUACCCUGAGUAGUCCACGCUGUAAACGGUGGGUACUAGGUGUGGGGUCCAUUCCACGGGUUCCGUGCCGUAGCUAACGCUUUAAGUACCCCGCCUGGGGAGUACGGCCGCAAGGCUAAAACUCAAAGGAAUUGACGGGGCCCCGCACAAGCGGCGGAGCAUGCGGAUUAAUUCGAUGCAACGCGUAGAACCUUACCUGGGUUUGACAUGGAUCGGGAGUGCUCAGAGAUGGGUGUGCCUCUUUUGGGGUCGGUUCACAGGUGGUGCAUGGCUGUCGUCAGCUCGUGUCGUGAGAUGUUGGGUUAAGUCCCGCAACGAGCGCAACCCUUGUUCACUGUUGCCAGCACGUUAUGGUGGGGACUCAAUGGAGACCGCCGGGGUCAACUCGGAGGAAGGUGGGGAUGACGUCAAGUCAUCAUGCCCCUUAUGUCCAGGGCUUCACGCAUGCUACAAUGGCUGGUACAGAGAGUGGCGAGCCUGUGAGGGUGAGCGAAUCUCGGAAAGCCGGUCUCAGUUCGGAUUGGGGUCUGCAACUCGACCUCAUGAAGUCGGAGUCGCUAGUAAUCGCAGAUCAGCAACGCUGCGGUGAAUACGUUCCCGGG
rnacentral:rRNA from 1 species